rnacentral:rRNA from 1 species
GAGUUUGAUCAUGGCUCAGGAUGAACGCUGGCGGCAUGCCUAACACAUGCAAGUUGAACGAGAAGUUCUGGAGGGAGUCUUCGGGCGAACGAAGGAAUGGAAAGUAGCGAACGGGUGAGUAACGCGUGGGCAACCAACCUUACACAGGGGGAUAACGCAGAGAAAUUUGCGCUAAUACCGCAUAAGCGCACAGUACCGCAUGGUACGGUGUGAAAAACUCCGGUGGUGUAAGACGGGCCCGCGUCUGAUUAGUUAGUUGGUGAGGUAAAAGCUCACCAAGGCGACGAUCAGUAGCCGACCUGAGAGGGUGAUCGGCCACAUGGGGACUGAGACACGGCCCAAACUCCUACGGGAGGCAGCAGUGGGGGAUAUUGCACAAUGGAGGGAACUCUGAUGCAGCAAUGCCGCGUGAAGGAAGACGGUUUUCGGAUUGUAAACUUCUAUCAGCAGGGAAGAAAAUGACGUACCUGACUAAGAGCCCC